GGCGGCAGGCUUACACAUGCAAGUCGAACGCCCCGCAAGGGGAGUGGCAGACGGGUGAGUAACGCGUGGGAAUCUACCGUGCCCUGCGGAAUAGCUCCGGGAAACUGGAAUUAAUACCGCAUACGCCCUACGGGGGAAAGAUUUAUCGGGGUAUGAUGAGCCCGCGUUGGAUUAGCUAGUUGGUGGGGUAAAGGCCUACCAAGGCGACGAUCCAUAGCUGGUCUGAGAGGAUGAUCAGCCACAUUGGGACUGAGACACGGCCCAAACUCCUACGGGAGGCAGCAGUGGGGAAUAUUGGACAAUGGGCGCAAGCCUGAUCCAGCCAUGCCGCGUGAGUGAUGAAGGCCUUAGGGUUGUAAAGCUCUUUCACCGGUGAAGAUAAUGACGGUAACCGGAGAAGAAGCCCCGGCUAACUUCGUGCCAGCAGCCGCGGUAAUACGAAGGGGGCUAGCGUUGUUCGGAAUUACUGGGCGUAAAGCGCACGUAGGCGGAUAUUUAAGUCAGGGGUGA
rnacentral:rRNA from 1 species